rnacentral:rRNA from 1 species
GACGAACGCUGGCGGCGUGCUUAACACAUGCAAGUCGAACGAUGAAGCCGGGGCUUGCUCUGGUGAAUUAGUGGCGAACGGGUGAGUAACACGUGAGUAACCUGCCCUUGACUCUGGGAUAACUGCUAGAAAUGGUAGCUAAUACCGGAUACGACCCUCGGAGGCAUCUCCAGGGGGUGGAAAGAAUUUCGGUCAAGGAUGGACUCUCGGCGUAGCAGCUAGUUGGUGAGGUAAUGGCUCACCAAGGCGACGACGGGUAGCCGGCCUGAGAGGGUGACCGGCCACACUGGGACUGAGACACGGCCCAGACUCCUACGGGAGGCAGCAGUGGGGAAUAUUGCACAAUGGGCGCAAGCCUGAUGCAGCAACGCCGCGUGAGGGAUGACGGCCUUCGGGUUGUAAACCUCUUUUAGUAGGGAAGAAGCGAAAGUGACGGUACCUGCAGAAAAAGCACCGGCUAACUACGUGCCAGCAGCCGCCGUAA